CUCUUAGUAUAAAAUGAAACGAGAUAGGAAUGUUGGUGGGUGUAAUGUUUCAGAAAGAAGGGUAGUGGAAGGCAUACAUUGGUAAGGAUUGUAGAUCAUGGCUGAUUGGAACCAUCCUUAGAAACGAUGCCCUUCUACAGUACAUCCUGGAAACAAGUGCCUAUCCCAAAGAGCAUGAGCAAUUGAAGGAAUUAAGAGAGGCCAGCGCUCUCAAGUACAAAGAUUUGUAAGCUUAUAAACUCCUUAUUUCUUAAAUUAAAUAUGGGAGCGUCAUGAAUGUGGGUAUUGAUGAAGCACAGUUUCUAUGGAUGCUGUUGAAGAUAAUGAAUGCCAAGAAAACAGUGGAAAUUGCAGUAUUCACCGGCUACUCCCUUCUUGCAUUGCCUGAGGAUGGCAAGGUAUAAUCGCAAUAGAUCCAGACAAAGAAGCAUACGAGAUUAGAUUAAAUUCAUCCCUUCAGAUGCUUUCUUAGUUUUACAUCAUCUCCUUCGUAAUGAAGCUUCAACUUCAUAUUUGUGGACGCCUAUAAGAGCUGACGCUGAAACUAGUGAAGAACGGAGGUAUUAUAGCUUACGACAACACUUUAUGGUAUGGAUCAGUUGCAGAAUCGGAGAAAGAGGGUCUCAUCAAGAAGUUUAGAAACUUCGUGAUCGAAUUCAAUACCUUAAUUGCCGCCGAUCCUCGAGUUCAAUCGUCGCUGCUUUCCGUCGGCGAUGGUCUCACCCUCUGCUGACGUCUCUACUAGUCAACAAAACAACCAACAAUUAAAUCCGAUUUCAAUCGCCGCCGACGUCUCUACUCGAGAAAAUCAACCAACCUUUCGUCGGUAAGUCAAAUUUUCUACUGUUUGAGAGUUUAUGUAUAUAGAUGCUUGAAUUAGGUUGAAUAAUGUUUGACAAAUUUAUUAUAACUUGGCGGACAUUACCUUGUCAGUUUGCAUUUGGAUUUUGUUUUGAGGGAAAUCUUGCAUUGUGAUUCCCAUGUAAAUUCGAGAACCUUGAUUUUCAUACUUCAACCCUAAACCUUGAGUUUCAAAAA